GAUGAACGCUGGCGGCGUGCCUAAUACAUGCAAGUCGAGCGAACGGACGAGAAGCUUGCUUCUCUGAUGUUAGCGGCGGACGGGUGAGUAACACGUGGAUAACCUACCUAUAAGACUGGGAUAACUUCGGGAAACCGGAGCUAAUACCGGAUAAUAUUUUGAACCGCAUGGUUCAAAAGUGAAAGACGGUCUUGCUGUCACUUAUAGAUGGAUCCGCGCUGCAUUAGCUAGUUGGUAAGGUAACGGCUUACCAAGGCAACGAUGCAUAGCCGACCUGAGAGGGUGAGCGGCCACACUGGAACUGAGACACGGUCCAGACUCCGACGGGAGGCAGCAGUAGGGAAUCUUCAGCAAUGGGCGAAAGCCUGACGGAGCAACGCCGCGUGAGUGAUGAAGGUCUUCGGAUCGUAAAACUCUGUUAUUAGGGAAGAACAUAUGUGUAAGUAACUGUGCACAUCUUGACGGUACCUAAUCAGAAAGCAACGGCUAACUACGUG
rnacentral:rRNA from 1 species